GAUGAACGCUAGCUACAGGCUUAACACAUGCAAGUCGAGGGGCAGCAUAUUCGAAGCCUGCUCUGAAUGAUGGCGACCGGCGCACGGGUGCGUAACGCGUAUGUAACCUGCCUGUCAGAAGGGGAUAACCCGGUGAAAGUCGGACUAAUACCCUAUAUGCUCACGAGAGGCGCCUGCCUUGGUGAGGAAAGAUUUAUCACUGACAGAUGGACAUGCGUCCCAUUAGCUGGUUGGUAGGGUAACGGCCUACCAAGGCAACGAUGGGUAGGGGAACUGAGAGGUUUAUCCCCCACAUUGGUACUGAGACACGGACCAA
rnacentral:rRNA from 1 species